UUAAAUCUUAUUUUUGCUCUGUAGUCUCUUCCUGUCCAUCUCGACUAACAAAUUUUAAAGUUAGAACUGAUGCAGACUUAAGGAAACCAAUUGUGAAUAUCCGUCAAUUGGUGGAUUAUACCUCAAUUGAGGUAUAAUCCACAUUUUGCAAAACACAGCAGAGGAAGUCAGAAGCAAUUACAUGUCACUAAUGCAGCAUUCACGAUUAACUUUAGAGUCCACAAGCCCGA
rnacentral:lncRNA from 1 species